rnacentral:rRNA from 1 species
GACGAACGCUGGCGGCGUGCUUAACACAUGCAAGUCGAACGGAAAGGCCCUGCUUGCAGGGUGCUCGAGUGGCGAACGGGUGAGUAACACGUGGGUGAUCUGCCCCUUACUUUGGGAUAAGCCUGGGAAACUGGGUCUAAUACUGGAUAGGACCAUGCUGUAGGUGGUGUGGUGGAAAGAUUAGUUUCGGUAAGGGAUGAGCUCGCGGCCUAUCAGCUUGUUGGUGGGGUAAUGGCCUACCAAGGCGUCGACGGGUAGCCGGCCUGAGAGGGUGGACGGCCACAUUGGGACUGAGAUACGGCCCAGAAUCCUACGGGGGGCAGCAGUGGGGAAUAUUGCACAAUGGGCGCAAGCCUGAUGCAGCGACGCCGCGUGGGGGAUGACGGCCUUCGGGUUGUAAACUCCUUUCAGCCAUGACGAAGCCCUUGUGGUGACGGUAGUGGUAGAAGAAGCACCGGCUAACUACGUG